UCCGGCGUAGCUCAGCGGUAGAGCAAUUGACUGUUAAUCAAUGGGUCACUGGUUCGAAUCCAGUCGCCGGAGCCA
rnacentral:tRNA from 1 species